rnacentral:rRNA from 1 species
AUUGAACGCUGGCGGAAUGCUUUACACAUGCAAGUCGAACGGUAGAGGGGGCAACCCCUCGAGAGUGGCGAACGGGUGAGUAAUAUAUCGGAACGUGCCCAGUCGUGGGGGAUAACGUAGCGAAAGUUACGCUAAUACCGCAUACGAUCUAAGGAUGAAAGCGGGGGAUCGCAAGACCUCGCGCGAUUGGAGCGGCCGAUAUCAGAUUAGGUAGUUGGUGGGGUAAAGGCUCACCAAGCCAACGAUCUGUAGCUGGUCUGAGAGGACGACCAGCCACACUGGAACUGAGACACAGUCCAGACUCCUACGGGAGGCAGCAGUGGGGAAUUUUGGACAAGGGACGCAAGUCUGAUCCAGCCAUUCCGCGGGCAGGAUGAAGGCCCUCGGGUUGUAAACUGCUUUUGUACGGAACGAAAAGGUCUCUCUUAAUACGGGGGGCUCAUGACGGUACCGUAAGAAUAAGCACCGGCUAACUACGUGCCAGCCGCCGCGGUAA